GAUGAACGCUAGCGGCAGGCUUAACACAUGCAAGUCGAGGGGUAGGUUACUUCGGUAAUUGAGACCGGCGCACGGGUGCGUAACGCGUAUACAAUCUACCUUUUACAGAGGGAUAGCCCAGAGAAAUUUGGAUUAAUACCUCAUAGUAUUUUUGAAUCGCAUGAUUUGAUUAUUAAAGUUCCAACGGUAAAAGAUGAGUAUGCAUCCCAUUAGCUAGAUGGUAAGGUAACGGCUUACCAUGGCUACGAUGGGUAGGGGUCCUGAGAGGGAGAUCCCCCACACUGGUACUGAGACACGGACCAGACUCCUACGGGAGGCAGCAGUGAGGAAUAUUGGACAAUGGGCGCAAGCCUGAUCCAGCAAACUGCCGCGUGAGUGAUGAAGGCCUUAGGUUG
rnacentral:rRNA from 1 species